UCUGCUUCUUUUGGAUGGAAUGUUCUGUAAAAAUCCAAGUCCAUCUGGUCUAACAUGUCAUUUAAGGAGUAGCUCUUUAUCUUUGAGCAUCCUCCCAUCCUCUUCUCAGUUUGAAGACGAGUGUCCACAGUGGGAAUUAUUCUCAAAUAUUUCCUGUCCUUGAAGUUUAAAAACUUGACAGCGCUUCCCUCACUGCACCCCCCAUGCCAAAAGAAAUGCAAUGAAAGGACUUAAAAUAAGAAGAGAGUGCAGUAUAUAAGCGGUUUUGUGUUUUUUGCUUUUAUCUGUCGAAAGAAACAAACAUAAGAUUUUUUUAUGCUUUCAAAAAUCUAAAUCAUGAUCUAUUUUCUGUUGCUGUUUCUAUUUUUAUACCAAUAAAAACAAGCAUCAUGUCUAUUUCCCGAAGAA
rnacentral:lncRNA from 1 species